rnacentral:rRNA from 1 species
UACUUAGUGGCAGACGGGUGAGUAACAUGUGGGUAUCUACCCUUUGGCCUGGAAUAACACGAGGAAACUUGUGCUAAUACCGGAUAAGUCUUUACGGAGAAAGCUUUAUGCACCAUUGGAUGAGCCCGCACUUGAUUAGUUUGUUGGUAGGGUAAUGGCCUACCAAGACUAUGAUCAAUAGCUGAUUUGAGAGGAUGAUCAGCCACAUUGGGACUGAGACACGGCCCAAACUCCUACGGGAGGCAGCAGUGGGGAAUCUUGCACAAUGGAGGAAACUCUGAUGCAGCGAUGCCGCGUGAGUGAAGAAGGCCUUUGGGUUGUAAAGCUCUUUCGUCGGGGAAGAAAAUGACUGUACCCGAAUAAGAAGGUCCGGCUAACUUCGUGCCAGCAGCCGCGGUAAUACGAAGGGACCUAGCGUAGUUCGGAAUUACUGGGCUUAAAGAGUUCGUAGGUGGUUGAAAAAGUUGGUGGUGAAAUCCCAGAGCUUAACUCUGGAACUGCCAUCAAAACUUUUCAGCUAGAGUAUGAUAGAGGAAAGCAGAAUUUCUAGUGUAGAGGUGAAAUUCGUAGAUAUUAGAAAGAAUACCAAUUGCGAAGGCAGCUUUCUGGAUCAUUACUGACACUGAGGAACGAAAGCAUGGGUAGCGAAGAGGAUUAGAUACCC